rnacentral:rRNA from 1 species
GACGAACGCUGGCGGCGUGCCUAAUACAUGCAAGUCGAACGAGAGCGACCGGUGCUUGCACUGGUCAAUCUAGUGGCGAACGGGUGAGUAACACGUGGGUAACCUGCCCAUCAGAGGGGGAUAACAUCCGGAAACGGAUGCUAAAACCGCAUAGGUCUUCGAGCCGCAUGGCUUGAAGAGGAAAAGAGGCGCAAGCUUCUGCUGAUGGAUGGACCCGCGGUGCAUUAGCUAGUUGGUGAGGUAACGGCUCACCAAGGCCGUGAUGCAUAGCCGACCUGAGAGGGUGAUCGGCCACAUUGGGACUGAGACACGGCCCAAACUCCUACGGGAGGCAGCAGUAGGGAAUCUUCCGCAAUGGACGCAAGUCUGACAGAGCAACGCCGCGUGAGUGAAGAAGGUUUUCGGAUCGUAAAACUCUGUUGUUAGAGAAGAACAAGUGCUAGAGUAACUGUUAGCACCUUGAC